UUCUUUCUUUCUUUAUUUUUUUUUAUACAAUUUUGCCCCACCAAAUUUUGACAUAUCAUUGGACGUAGAAUUGAAUGUCUAAUGAUGUGUGUAACAGACCAUCGAGUCGCAAAAGGUUUCAGUUAUCAUGAGCUGAAGUUGGUAGUUGUCCGACACAGCGCUGCGAGAAGCUCUUGGUGGGUAUUCUGCAGCGGGUGUGUACUGUGCAGCGCCGCUCGUCCAUCGCCUAUCGAGGCAUUUUACUGGUUCAGUGAGUUAGUUCCAUAAGUAGAAGAGUUAUUAUGCAUCUCGUAAGAUAAUAUAUAUUUUUGCUUGUAUCUGAACUAUGUUGUAAGCCAAUAAGAAGUAUACGCACAUUGUAUUUACCAUUAAGGUCGUUUGCGGUGUUUUCUUCCACAUACCUAAGGAUCUCGUAUGAUUACCAUGAGUAGUACUUCAUCGUUAUAAUAGCAAGCGGUGGUGACUUCAGUGGGUUUAAAACUACCUCUUUACUUCCGUUCGCCUCCUCCACCCUCCAUUCCCUUCUCUUGUGUGGGGUCCAUAAAAAUGUAGCCAUCAUAAAUUAUAGUCAUUCACACAAACGUUCGCGUGGAAACUAGAAUGCCACAACGCAAUACUUAAGUGAAUAUUUAUUGCAAUGAAUUAAGUCGUAAGUGAACAUAAUUUCUACUGAUUCACCGUAUGUGGUUGUGAUGCGUCCAGAAUUGACGGUCAGAAGUGGGGAGAUGAACUGCGUACAUUCCUUGACUCAGACCAACGACAACUCGCGUGAGUUACAAUACUAGUUGUCUGUUCUAGUUGUCAUGUGUCAAAGGUUAGUGAACAUGACUACUAGGUGGUAUUAAUAGCUAAGGAAUCGAGUUGGUAAAUAUUUCGGCGUCUUAUCUCGAAUACAUUGCAUAAGUUAUUGCGGACACCAUGGGUGUUCCUAUGCUUUCAGUUAUUGUUAUCACAGCUUAACGAAAGUUCUACAUUAUCAGUGCUGAAAGAAAGAAAAAAAUACUCUUGACAUAAUUUCUGUGGUUGUUAGAAAAUAGCUUUUUAAUAGACGUGUCCAAAAACAGCUGAAAAUCGUAGAUUUCAUUAAAAGCUCGAGACGAGACGGCUAAAAAGUAUAGCAUUCGGAGUCUCGAGAAGUGACGUCAUAAUCACGUGAGGAGCUGGGGCUUGUCCGUGGAAGCUGAGACUGGAGUCUGGCUUCCUUGGGAGUGGUAGUGGGCGGCGGUGACAACAGGUGUGUGAGUGAUGCCGUGAAUUGUCGCCUCACAGGGGGACUCUCAAGGGCACGAUGAACUGAGCACAUAAUAAGCUCUGAAUACCACCACCACCACCACCCACCACCACCACACGAUGGAGACAAGUGAAAGUAACGGUACUGGAGAGGACCAAUCACUACCCAUGUCCUUCGUGACGUCACAGGCGGGCUGGGUAUAUAAGGGGGCAGUCAGCAGGAUCACGGCACAACAAGGCACCCACAAGAACUCUCGCAUCUCCUGCAGUAUGGCGCUCACAGUGUCAAUUAUUCUAGCCUGCGUUGGGGCGGCCCUCGCCUCACACCCCCUACGGCCACGCCCCCGUCUACGGCCACCACCACCAUCACAAACACGCUUAUUGCGAUCCCACCGCCGCCCCCGCCUGCGCCGCCAACUCCACGCUCUCCUACUGCCUGGAGGACGCCGAGUACCCUGAGUACGACAUCAAGGGCGCCAUCAGCGCCGACCACAUCUUCGCCAAGAAGUACGCCGACGUGGCAGACCAGUCCGCCGACGACCUGGUGGAGACAGUCACCAAGGAGCAGGAGGAGGCUUUCGACUACUCCUACUACACUGGCGCCUCUACCGGCGACUCCCCCUACGACGUGACCCACUGGACGGGCCCUGAGGGCUACAUCUGCCCCUCGGACGUGGCCUACGCCCGCCCCAGGCGCGCCCGCAACGUGGAGGGCAAGUGGAGGGUGAUCGUGAACGACGUGCACUACUACACCCAGACGGCGCGCCUGGAGACAUGCCUGUUCCCCGAGGCCGCCUGCCGCGCCCUGGCGCCCUGCUACAAGAGUCAUUGCACCCAGAAGUACGUGUACCACCGCCUGCUCUCCUACGACCCUUGCGAUCCCUACAAGGGUCUCUUCAUCGACAUCUACAAGCUGCCCUCUGCCUGCUCCUGCCACCUUCCUGCCUAAACACCCCCGCCAAUGCUGUCCCUCCUGCCGCCCUUCACCCCUCGACCCUCCUGACCCAGAACGCCCUGCCUCCCCUGCCACGCCGGGCUAGAAUAUUGACACUGUCUGCUCCCUUUCCCUGUUCGUUUUACCACGGGGCCGCCGCUUUCCCCAGGGGCGCCCUGAGGACUCGCGUAAGAAGCUCCCAAGAGACCUAGAGAACUGCUUUCUUUACGUACCGCCGACACCACCAUCACCACCAGUCACAGGAACCACUUGGGAAUUUCUUCACCAUUUCAAGUCCAAACUCAAAAUUAUGUUCCUUUACUUUCCCUUCCACUGUCAAGUAACUUUUCUCUUAAUGCAAGUGAGUGCGAGAUGCUGAGAGUUCUUGUAUUUUUUUUUUUUUCUAUUAAACAAAAAAUCCACAAAA